rnacentral:tRNA from 1 species
AGUUUCGAGUAAUAUAGAUUGCAAAUCUAAAAAAGUCGGUUAAUUUUCGACCGGGGCUU